rnacentral:rRNA from 1 species
GAUGAACGCUGGCGGCAUGCCUAACACAUGCAAGUCGAGCGAACAGACGAGGAUCUUGCUGCUCUGGCGUUAGCGGCGCGCGGGAGAGUAACACGUGGAUAACAUCCCUAUCAGACUGGGAUAACUUAGAGCCCCCGGAGCUAGUACCGGAUAAUAUAUUCAACCGCAUGGUUCAAUAGUGUAUGACGGGUUUGCUGUCACUUCUAGAUCGUUCCGAGCCGCUUAAGCUUGUUGGUAAGGUAACGGCUUACCAAGGCAACGAUGCGUAGCCGACCAGGGGGAUGGAUAGGCCCCGCUGGAACUGAAUCACGGGCCAGACUCCUACGGGAGGCAGCAGUAGGGAAUCUUGCGCAAUGGGCGAAAGCAUGACGGAGCAACGCCGCGUGAGUUAAGAAGGCCUUCGGAUCGGAAAACACUGUUACUAGGGAAGAACAAAUGUGUAAGUAACUAAGCACGUCUUGACGGUACCUGAUCAGAAAGCCACGGCUAACUACGUG